UUCCAAAGCAUGACCCACUGAAAUAUUGGAGACUGAAAAGCAAUGUGAACAGUCAUUUGUCAAUGCAAUACGUGAAUCAAUCAGGGUAACUAUCUUGAUCAUUUUGACAAAACAAAUGGUGUUUCCAAAGAAAGUGCAUGUGCAGACAACAUGAAACUUUAGACUGCAGAAAGUUUCACAAGCCGUUAUCAAACUCAUGUCAUAGAAGUGGUAAAAGACAUGUGUGACAACUGAAUGGUAUCCUUUUGUAAAGUUUUUGGCCAGGGGUG